rnacentral:rRNA from 1 species
UGAGGAAUAUUGGACAAUGGGCGCAAGCCUGAUCCAGCAAUACCGCGUGAGUGAAGAAGGCCUUAGGGUUGUAAAGCUCUUUCAGCAGGGAAAAUAAUGAUGGUACCUGAAAAAGAAGUUCCGGCUAACUCCGUGCCAGCAGCCGCGGUAAUACGGAGGGAACUAGCGUUGUUCGGAUUUACUGGGCGUAAAGAGCGCGUAGGCGGUAUAUUAAGUUAGAAGUGAAAGCCUAAAGCUCAACUUUAGAACUGCUUCUAAAACUAAUAUGCUAGAGUAUGGGAGAGGAUAGUGGAAUUCCUAGUGUAGAGGUGAAAUUCUUAGAUAUUAGGAGGAACACCAGUGGCGAAAGCGACUAUCUGGAACAUUACUGACGCUGAGGUGCGAAAGCGUGGGGAGCAAACAGG